AAUCACCUAUUUAGUAAUUUAGCGUGUAUUUUCACCUCCAUGUUUAUGGAAAAACGUUGUGCGUUCUCGUUUCGCCCACAAAAACGAAUCAUUUUGGUUUUAAUUAAUUUUAGAAUUGGUUUUAGCUCUAAUCGGGUUAUUUUAACCUUCUUAAUCCACCAUAACCUGUAUUACACAUCGUAAAAACAUACCUUCCAACUAAAAGAAUUUGGGUUAUUUUUGGCUUCAUUAUGGGGCUUUUAUUUUAGAUUUAUUGUAUUGGUUAUCAAUACUUCGUUAUUUGCGUGACUUUCCCGUAUUAACGAAACCAAAAAAUACAUUCUACGUUUUUUAAAACGUUAAUACUUUUAUGCGGAGACCUCUAAGAGGUCAAUAACUUCGCCUCUUACUUGUGAGAAUUAUAAUUUCGUUAUAAAUUGCAUAUGUAAAUCAUUUUAUGGUAAGAAACUUCAUUAAUUAUUGUUUAAUGAGAACAAUUUUUGAGGUGGCCAUUUUUGUUGUUUGGAAUAACCUCAAAAAAAAUUAAUACAGAUGUGAUAUAACAACGUUUAAAGUUUUAAGUACAUGAUAUGGUUAAAAUAAAGUAAAAAGUUAACAUAUUUAACGGAUUGGCGAUAACAUUGUGUUAAUUAAUACAAUAUUGUUGUACCAGACUUUAAUUUGAAAUUUCCUGCGAUUUGUAUUAAUUACAAUGCUUGUGUAUUCAAAUGGUGAAAUUAGUGAUAUAAAGCAGGUACAAGAAUAUAUUUUGAAGGUUAUUGAUGAUAAUUUUGGUUCAAGAGGAGUAUUCUUCUAGAACUUACACACCCUUAUCACAACCAAUGGUUACAAAUCCUUAUUGCUUCCAAUUGUCACCUGUAGAAGACUUUUUAAUUGUAUUGGAGCAAUUUUACUAGCGCUAUGGACCACAAACUACAAAGAAAAGCCCAACAGUUAACGAGUUUAUCCAAGGCAAGAUAGUAUCAAAAGAAGAAUGGCAGAAAUAUUUUAAACAACUAUAUUCCUUAGAAGGACUUAUACACAUUGAUGAACCAGUAAAUACCAACACCCCUGUUCAAGUAGAAGAUGUUAAAGAAAAGCUUGGUAAACUCAAAAAUAGAAAAUCCUCUGGAACAAAUAAAAUACCCAACAAAUUGCUCAAAGAUGGUGGGAAAGUCUUACCAGAAAAAUUAACCUAUCUAUUUAAGAGAGUGCUACAAGACUCUGAAGUAUUCAUUCCCAUAUUCAAAAAAGGAGCAAAAACUAACCCUGAAAACUAUUUACAGCUAAUUAAAGCUAUUUACAAACAUACUAAAAAAUUAUAGCUAGAAAAUAUCAGAACAACAAGGCUUUAGGAAAGGCAGAUCAAUAACUGAUGCCUAAUUUGUCCUGAAACAAAUAAAAGAGAAGUCAAUUGAGUUCAACAAACCCACAUACAUGUGCUUUGUGGACUUGAUUAAAUCUUUUGAUAGAGUAUGGUUGGGUGAUAUAUUAAAUCUAUUAAAACUAAGAGGAGCACCAGUUGAUAUUAUAAACAUAAUACAUAAAUUAAAUAUUGAUAACACAAUAAAAGUGAAAGCUAGAGAUGAAUUGACUGAGGAUAUUUUUGCACCAGGAGGAGUCAGGCAGGGUGACAGUCUUAUUUAAUCUGCCUACCUUGGUUACACAAUGGAAACCUCAGAAGACGACCUACAAAAACAACUUUACUUAAGUUCUAUCAAAUGAGCAAAGAACUAAUCAUGCUGGUCUUUACUGAUAAAACCAAAUGCGUAAUGAUAGCAAAGGAGUCAAUAAGGUGCAAAUUGGUUGUUGAAAAAACAACCUGGGCGUAUAAAUUUCUAGCUACAAUGAUCCUGUUAAAGACCUAAGAUCAUAAAUUUAUUUAUUAGCACCACAACAUAUAAAGAAUACAAUAACACAAAAAUAAUAACAGAAUUGCCAAUAACAGGACCAAUUCAAGGUACAAUUCAAGUACCUUGUUUCUCAUUGUAAAUUAAUAAGGCAGCAGCAAUAUCAGGCGCCUUAUGAGACAUUGUUUAGUCUAACAAAUACAUGAGAAUCGACAGCAAAGUUAGGAUAGAUAAGACAAAAGCCUACUAAGAACAGCUGAGAUGAAAUUUUUUUAAAAAGUCACCAUAUCUAGUUACUUUUUCAAUACCAACCUAAAUCUAGUAAAUUUUUAGCCCCCCAGAUUUAAAUUGGUCACUUUCCCUGUACUUACAACAUUGGAACGUGACGUCACCAGGAGCCGCUCCUGGUCAAGAACCAGCAUUAAUACACUGCUUAUAUAAUCAAGAACGACGACAUCAGGGAAAAGUGCGAGAUACAGGAUAUCGUCAGAUGAGGCAGACAACGGAAAAGAGCGUGGCAUGAUCAUGUAAACAGAAUGCCAAAUAACAGGUUGUUCAAGCCUGUCUUGAUAUACAACCCACCAGACCACCAAAAAGAUGGCGGAACAGUUGGCAAUAGAUUAUAUGGUCUAACAACAAAAAGAAGAAGAAGACAGUAAAAGCUGUAUUCGAACGGUCGCAAGAUUGUAUUUUUGUUGAUUGUAAAGGUGUGUUUUACACAGUUUUAACCUUCAAUGGUGUGAAAUUAUAUUAAAAACUUGGUUUUAAAAGUCGGUAUGCUGUUAGAAAAUCAUUCAUAACUAUGAUUAAUAAACGAAAACAGUUUGCAUUUACAGAAAAUGCCAAAAUAAGGAUUUUAACUUCUGGAAAGUGGUAAUUUUCACAGAUGAGAUUUAACUCAAUAUAAAAAUAUCGACUGGACUAGUAAGAAUUCGGCGAGAGAGAAACAACAGCCUAUAUCCACAUAAUCUGAUACCUACGUUGAAACGUGGUAGAAGUUUGGUGACGAUAUGGGGUUGUUUUUCAGUGGCAAGAGUCCAAAAUCUUCAUUUUAAGCGCCUUUCACAUGAUCAAUAUAUAUGGCCAAUAAACAUUGACAAACUGUAAUUGCCUCAGAUUAUCAAUAUUUAUUGACGAUUUACUUAGUUUUGCGCUGGCAGUCAAAGAUGUCAUACCGUCAAAAAGCUUGUGUAGCUAUUAUUUUAGCUUUAGCAAUAAAACGGCGGAAGAAAAAGAGAAUAUGGGCUAGUAGGGAAUGGCUUCUAAAGAGAGACAAGUUUUUUUCACAUGACUUUGUUGAAUGAGGUUCGCGUAUCUGCUCCAAAAGAUUUUCAAAACUUCUUUCGCGUGACUAACACUUGUUACGAAGACUUAUUGAACCUACUGGGACCAAUUAUUAUUAAAAAAGACACAAAGAUGAGAAAGGCAGUUUCAGUUGAAGCGACAUUGUCAACUCUCCGAUUUUUAGCAACUGAUACGAAGUUUUCUGCUAUAGUAGCUCCUAACACUAUUAGUGGGAUUGUAAGAUUGUCAAUCUUUCCCUCAGACUGUCAAUAUAUCAAACAUUUUCGUUUUUGUCAAACUAUCCGAUCAAUAUUUUCAAUAUUGGCAAUCUGUCAAUCUUUCUAUUCACACGUCCAAUAAUAUUGUCAAUACACAGAUAUUGACAAUAUAUAUUGAUCAUGUGAAUGCCGCUUUGUAGAUGGACUAUUGACUGCAAAGGGGUGUAUAACAUUGUAAAAAAAAAAUUGCAAUGUGCUGAAAAAUAGUGAUUUUUACCAGAUUUUAUCUUCAAACAAGAUAAUGAUUCGAAGCGCUGGAUUCUAGAUUUUGGAUCGUGUACAACUGUUCAGAGCAACUCAAAACACCAUCACAAAGCCUAAAUCUUAAUCCUAUUGUCAAUAUUCAAGAAGAAAUUGAAAUAUUACGAUAUUAGAAACAUAAUCGACCUAAAAAUAGCGUUGAAAACAGAAUGGACUAAAAUACCACCUGAUUAUGCUUUUUUGGUUCAAAAUGAACAAUUUUGGUCCAAAACAUUUUUCUUUGUCGCUUAUAGUUUCUGACUUAUGCCAAAUUUAUUAAUGUGUAAUCGAUUUUUACAUUUAGAAGAUCAUAGGUUGGUUUGCAGGAAAUGUAGCCAUCUAGAAGAAAUUUUUGUUGUGGAUUAUGCUUUUUCGAUUAAAGUGAACAAUUUUGGUGCACAAUAUUUUUCUCUAUCGGUUAUAGCUUCUGAGUUAUGACAGAUUUAUGAACAUAAGUGCCGGAAUUUGACAUUUAGAAGAUUAUGAAUUAGUUUGCAGAAAAUGUAGAUAUCUAGAAGAAAUCUUUGUUAUGGAUUAUGCUUUUUGGGUUCAAAAUGAACAAUUUUGGUGCACAACAUUUUAUUCUGUUGGUUAUAGUUUCUGACUUAUGGCAUAUUUAUGCAUGUAAGUGAUCGAUUUUGACAUUUAUUUUCAUACUGUAUCGAACUGCAGAGGUAACCAACAUAUUUACUUUUGUUUUUACUCUUCUAAGUGAAAUAAAUCAUCAAAAAUAUUUGAAAUUUCUACUACCAUUCUAGAGCAAUUCCUGAUAUUCUAAUAUUUCGAAGGGUGUUCAAAUACGGAUUUUGCAUACCGUGUCUCCAUGACAAUCAAUAGUGUCGUCUGUCUCGGAAUUAUAACUUAAGGCUUGUAUGUAUGGAGACAAUUACUUCGUCUAAAGCUACGUGCUCACUUGAGAGAAACUUCUGAGAGUAACUCUCGAUAAUUACUUUCAACUGUGUGGCCACUUGAGACUGUUUUAGCUCUCCGAGAGCUAUAAAACUUCCGAGAGCUUUCUUUCAGAACCGUGUCCACUAGUGAAAUGUGUCCGUGCUAUGGAAAGUAAAAUUUAUUUUCUUUCAGCGUUUAUCAAAUUGUUAGUUAUUUGGCAUACUGGAUUCACAGAAAGUGAACUCGAUUGCUUUAAUGGCACU
rnacentral:lncRNA from 1 species